rnacentral:tRNA from 3 species
GGAAAGAUGCUCGAGUGGUUGAAGAGGCACGCCUGGAAAGCGUGUAUACCCCAAAAGGGUAUCCGGGGUUCGAAUCCCCGUCUUUCCG